CAAGUCGCAGCCAUACAUUAUCUGGAGGGUGUUAGACCCUGGCCCCGCCCCCGCUGUCAGCCCCGCCCACCGAGCCCCGCCCCCGCCCCGACCAACCCGCGGGGAUUUUGGCCUAAACUGAAAAUGAAAUCUGGUAAAGGCGCCUGGGCCUCUCCCGGGUCGAGGAUCUGGCGGGUCCCGCAGCCUCGGGGUGGAUCUCGGAGCCGGAGACUCGCGGGGGGGACCCGGGACGUCCGUGGGGGAUGAGGAGGGGUCGUGACCUUCGCCCCAGGCCGGGGUCAUUCACCGGCCUAGCUCUGGUGGUAGUAGCGGCGCGGCAUGGGCAGGUUCACUCUUGUCAGUCUGUGCGCGGGCCUGAUGUUCCGUGUGCUCCGGUCCCAAUACUCCGGUCCAUCCUGCUCCAACCACUGCGCCUGCGGCUACAUCCUCGGAGUCGCCGCGUCGCUGUCGAACCGCACGAACUGCGUGUCGUCCACGUAGCCCACUGCGAUGUACCGGGGCUCCCCGCGACCCGGCCGGGACACGGCGGUGCUGAAAUACCUUAUGGAGUGGGUACCUGGGGGCGAGGAGGGGCUGAGACCCGUCCGACCCUCCUCCUUGAGCGGCUCCCCGGGUCCUGCGCCCCAGUGCGCGGGCCCCUAGCUCCUCCCCGCAGAGGCCAUUUCCCUCCGGAUCCCGCACUCACCCGCCCAGGUCUCGGUCAGGGCCAGGGCCCCCAAGAGCAGCAGGAGGAGGGUUCGGGACGCCAUGACCCCAUCCUCGGCGUCUGGGGAGAAUCUGAAUCCCAAUGGGUUCGCGGGGACUUCUGGAACAGGGACCCCAGCGACGCCGAUUGGCUUCGCUAGAAACCCGACACCAAAUGGGAGUGAGAACUGAGUCCACAUCCUGAGUGUCCAGGAAGAAGGACCCUACAUAAGUUGGGAGAGGGAGAAGAGAAACUGCGGAGAUGGGGAAUCCCCAACCCUGGGCCUCCCCAAUCAAUACAACGCCUUCGGGGCCUGAAACCCUGAAAGCCACGCCUGGGGCCAUAGGGCUUCGCCCUGACCCCGCUCCUCCUGUGCCAAGCGCUCAGUCUCAAUGUCUCCCUGAGUCUUGGCCCAAGAGCUGUCUGAGAAACCAGGGAGAAACCCUCGUCAUGGGCCCCGUCCCUCUUCAUUUUUCAUCCCGGAAUCCCCGUCCCAGAACUGGACUCCCUGCCUCCCACUCCUUACCUAUUUCCCUGAACUCUUCUAGAAAAAAACUCACCCCAGGGAGCUUGGUGACAGAGAGGGAGCUCGCCGCCAGAGAGGGAGCUCGCCCUGGGAAUGGAGGCGUAGAGACAGGUUUUUGUUUUUUUUUUCUUUAAAUCCGGAAAAGUUGUGCCUGAGUACAUGAGACAGCAUAGAGACAAGUUUUCUCUUUAUUAACUACAGUGGGUAGCAGAAUCUUGGCAACCCCUAAAUGAUCAGGAAUCUAAUCGGUAAAAAAUGUAACUUUGGCCCCUUGAUCUAUAAAUGUGUCUGAAAGCAUUACAACAGGACUCACAAAGCUACUAAGUUUGACUUUCCCAGACAAUGUAUCUGUGACUCCCGCUUGUUUUUUACAUUUACCUUCAUUCCACAGCCCUGAGUUACUGGGUGAGUCCAAGACAUCUCCUCAAUAUAAAGUAGCACACUGCGUUACUAUAUGUUGCAACCGGGAGCCAGUACAGACUUUAUUCACCUCACAGUUGCAAGUGUUCAAUGCAGUCACAAUGCCCCUCAGCAGUGCUCAUGUGCUGCCUGUUUUUAGGAAGUAUUCACGUCUAAGUGGUGUGUAUAUCUUAUAGGAAUACUUAGUAUUUUUAAAACCUGAUUAAUUAAAAAAAAUUAGUUUCUAGGCAGUCCCAAAUAUAGUAUUAAAGGCCAACUGCAAAGAAGGAACACUAAGUAUUUUUUAAACCUUAUUAACAUAAAAAAACAUUAGUUUUUAGGCAGUCCUACAUUAGGUAUUAAAGGCCAACUGCAAAGAACACUGAGCGAGGCUCUGUAGAUGGAUGUAAUAAAAAUCUAUAAAACAAUGUGUUUAAACCUAAGAAUUCUACUGCUUUCCAAUUCCUUCCCUCUGCUCCUUUUCCUAACCUCCUGCUUCUCCAGCCCUUCCCUCUGUCCCUUUCACCCCUCAGGCCCUCCUCUCCCCUUAGUCCCCACCACCCUGUCACUUCUAAAUUGUGGCUCUAGCAUUGUCCCAUUACCUGCUAUGUGACUGUUCUCUCCACAGUGGUCCUGCUCCUGUGAGUCAGAGUGUGUCAUUUCCUCACCUAAAACACUCCAGUGGCUCCACCUCGGUCUUGUGAAGCUUCUAGAAUGUCAGGCACGUGAGCAUAUGAGGGCAUACCUGGUUCAUCUUAGGCACUAAAUUAAUUUUUGUUGACUGAAUGAAUGAAAUAUGAAUGUAUUAAAUUGCAUCACAGAAAGUUAUAAAAUGUAAAACACUGAAAAAUUAAGAAAUAUUUUAUCUUAUGUAACUAGUGUGCAUAUCAAUUCAUCCGAGUCUGUUGAGCCUGUGUAUGAAUUUUAUAAGAUUGCAUAACAAAUUAUCACAAACAUUGACUUUAAACAACACCC